CCCUUGUUGACCCACAAAACCCCCCCGCCGCGGCGGCGCCUGCUGCCACCCCGGCUGGGCCCCAGGCCUGCUGCGGGCUUGGUCCACCAGGAGCGGGGCCUGCGCUGUGCUCUUGGCCCUGCCUGGCGCCACUUGCUGAGAUGAAAGUGACCGUCUGCUUUGGCAAGACGGGGAUCGUGGUUCCCUGCAAGGAUGGGCAGCUCCGUGUCUGCGACCUGACCCAGCAGGCGCUCCAGCGGUACCUCAAAACCAAAGAGAAGGUCAAUUGAACUGCACCAUGCUGUCAUGAGUCUUGAAUCC